AACGAACGCUGGCGGCAGGCUUAACACAUGCAAGUUGAACGGGAUUUGUGUGGUGCUUGCACCAUAUAAUGAGAGUAGCGCACUGGUGAGUAACACGUGGGAACGUACCUUUUGGUGGGGGACAACAUCUGGAAACGGAUGCUAAUACCGCAUAAUCCCUGAGGGGGAAAGAUUUAUCGCUUUAAGAUUGGCCCGCGGAAGAUUAGGUAGUUGGUGGGGUAAAGGCCUACCAAGCCGACGAUCUAUAGCUGGUCUGAGAGGACGAACAGCCACAUUGGAACUGAGACACGGUCCAG
rnacentral:rRNA from 1 species